AGCUCACAGCUCCGCCACCGCAGGGCGGUGGCGGUGACCGUGUGCCUUUUGCAUAAUGAGCCAACGACUUCGUUCUCAGUGGCUUGGCUAAGGGAGUUAUACCCGCAGCCGUAGCGAAAGCGAGUCCGAAUAGGGCGAUUAUGUCGCUGGGACAAGACCCGAAACCGGGUGAGCUAUCCAUGAGCAGGAUGAAGGUCGCCGAAAGGCGGCUGGAGGUCCGAACUGGUGGGUGUCGCAAGACCCUCGGAUGACUUGUGGAUAGGAGUGAAAAGCUUACCGAACCCGGAGAUAGCUGGUUCUCCUCGAUAUGCCUUUAGGGGCAGCCUCGUAGUACACCCUGGGGGGUAGAGCUACUGUUUGGAUGCGGGGGUCACCUCGACCUACCAAAUCCAGACAAACUCCGAAUACCCAGGCUUUGGCUACGGGAGUGAGACGGUGACAGCGAACUGCCAUCGUCGUGAGGGAAAUAGCCCAGAUCAUUUGCUAAGGUCCCCAAACUGUAGUUCAGUGGAAAAGGAAGUGCAGGUGCGUAAACAACCAGGAGAUUGGCUUAGAAGCAGCCAUCCUUUAAAGAAAGCGUAACAGCUCACUGGUCGAUGCACUUGUGCGCCGAAAAUGUAACGGGGCAAAACUACAUACCGAAGCAGUGAAUGUGUAUCCGUUCCGGAUACGCGUGGUAGAGGAGCGUUCUGUCCAGCUGCGAAGCAGUACCGCGAGGUGCUGUGGAGCGGACAGAAGCGAGAAUGUUGGCAUGAGUAACUACUAGGCAGGCGAAAAUCCUGCCCAUCGAAUCCCCAAGGUUUCCCACGCAACGGUCAUCGACGUGGGGUUAGUCGGUCCUAAGGUCAGGCCGAAAGGCGUAGCCGAUGGACAGCAGGUUAAUAUUCCUGCACUUCGUACGUAUCGAUCAGGGUUGCAGUAUGAAAGUCCUGCCGGCCUCUGUCCGUGUCACUGUGAGUAUCAGCGUGAUAGCUUCAGUAGCUUCAAUAGCUUCGUUAGGGAUUCCCUAAUGCAGCUAACGAAGCUAAUGCAGCUACUCCCUCGUUCUUACGGUGACACGGAUAUGUCAGCGGGAAACGAUUGCUGCCGCCUAGGAGCGGCGUGACGGAUCGGGAAGAUCAGAGCGUGUGUAUUGACUGCACGUGGAAAGUACGAGACGUUGAUUCCGGGAGGUAAAUCCCCCGGUUGAGUCGAGUGCGUAUCCCAAAUACUCCCCGCGAGGGGGGCGAGUCUGUCCCUUUCUGGUUCCAAGAAAACCGUCGCUACCGAGAGACGUCCGGAACCGUACCGCAAACCAACACCGGUGGGGUGGUCGAGUAGACCAAGAUGAACGGGUCACCUUGCGUUAAGGAACUCGGCAAUAAAGCAUCCGUAACUUCGGGAUAAGGAUCGCCGCACGUCGCAAGACGCGCGGCCGCAGCAAAAGAGCUCAGGCGACUGUUUACCAAAAACACAGGUCCCUGCGAAGCCGUAAGGCUAUGUAUAGGGGCUGAUGCCUGCCCAGUGUCAGAAGGUCACGGGAGGAGGUUUACGCCUCCAACCUAAGCCCUGAUGAACGGCGGCCGUAACUAUAACGGUCCUAAGGUAGCGAAAUUCCUUGUCGGGUGGUCGUAAUCACUUGCCCGAAUCAUGAGCAAUCAUGAGCACUGAGGAAUAUCGUUUUGUUUUUGGAAAGUCUCACACCGAGAUGUGUGAUGUCUCUGUCGUAAGAUGAGAGACGAGCAAAUUUUGUUUCAGCUUUCAGCGCAGGCAUUCCUGCCUGCGAAUAGAGUUCCAAAUUAUUUAAGUGCUUGAACGAUCGUACUGGUAGUCCUACCUGACUACACCAGUGUAAAACGUCGCUAUGUGCUGGAAUAUCCGAGAAUGCAGCGGUACUUGCAAAAUAUCAGUAAUAUGAUAUAAUGUUAAGUAACAAACCGUCUGCUGCGGACAAUCAGCAGGAAAUACUUUCCUUUCUAAACAUGGCAAAUCUAAGUCUAGAUCAAGAAGGCUUCGGCAAGGUACACGGCCUAAUCGAGACGCUCAGGGAUGACAAGGAUCCAAGGCGUCAUCAAAUUUGGUUAGACGCUGUUGGCAUUGAUGGAAGUUUUCAUGCUUUAAGCAGAGCUCCCGCAGGUCAUGAUGUCUCUCCAGACAUUGCUGAUAUCAACACGCGGAUUGCCCUUGUGCUGAAAGAAAUAGAAGGAAAAUAGCUCCUCAGAGACUACACGCGACACUCCGAACAAUCGGAGCAUGAUAUAGUCCGAUCCCUGUGGCGACAUAGGGCGCGCGAAAUUGAAGCGCGGCUAAAAAACAAUCGUUCUUCCUGAA
rnacentral:rRNA from 1 species